rnacentral:rRNA from 1 species
UACGAGGGGUGCAAGCGUUGCUCGGAAUUAUUGGGCGUAAAGGGUAGGUAGGUGGUCUUAUUUGUCUGGGGUGAAAGCCUUGAGCUCAACUCAAGAAGUGCCCCGGAAACGGUAAGACUCGAGUCCUGGAGAGGGUCGUGGAAUUCCCGGUGUAGCGGUGAAAUGCGUAGAGAUCGGGAGGAACACCAGCGGCGAAGGCGGCGACCUGGACAGGCACUGACACUCAACUACGAAAGCGUGGGGAGCAAACAGG